UUCUUGGUUGCUUUCCACGGGUUCGUGUCACUCACACCUCAAAAAAGUAUCAUGGGCAGGUCUACAUCCCUGAGAUCAACUAUGCAUUAAUGAUCUUAUGUGUAGCUGUGACAGCUAUUUUCCAAACUACAGACAAGAUCGGCAAUGCAUAUGGUAAGAAAAUCUUCAACUCUAUAUAAAGAAAGGAGUAAAUAAUUCAUUACCUGAAGAUCAUUUCUGCUAUAAGAUUGAGACAUCUCAUGCUUCUAUUAUUCCCUUACACAACUGUUGCAUGUUAUUUCUCUUAAGUAGUCUUCACCUGAAAUUUCAAUAUAAACAUAGAUGCACCGAAGUUGCUCAUAACAUGAUGUUUUCGCUCGUCUAUUUGCCCAGAUUGUCGGCAAGUAGUACGUUACUCGCAAAUAUGCUAUAUUGCCAUUGCUGCUUAACCUGCCAAAUCCAGAAAGAGUGAAAUCAUCAUAUGCUAAUUGUGGAAUUUAGCAAGAAUAUAAAAGUUUGUAUGUAAGAUGUGAUAAUGUCUGCAUAGCCUGAUCAAUUGAUGAAAAUAUACCAGAUUGGUCCAUUCUUCCAAAAUCCAAUGGCAUCAUGACCCAUCAACUUAUUCUUAUAAAAUCAAAGAAGUAACAACUAACAAGUAUUAUCCACAUUCGAAAUUCACUUUGUUACUUUCAGUAAUAAUGGAGUAUCAGUUUUAUGAUAAUAAUAUAAUCAUCAUAUGUGCAGGUAUUGCUGUCGUCUUUGUGAUGUUCAUAACAACACUUCUAGUCACACUGGUAAUGGCCAUGAUAUGGAAGACAAGUCUGCUGUGGAUUGCACUCUUUCCAAUAAUAUUUGGCAGCGCAGAGCUCCUGUACUUAUCCUCAGCAUUCUACAAAUUUGUAGAAGGUGGCUACUUGCCACUAGGUUUUGCAGCAAUUUUGAUGCUUAUAAUGGGCACAUGGCACUAUGUUCAUGUUCAUCGGUACAAAUACGAGCUCAAGAACAAAGUGUCAAACAACUAUGUGGCCGAGUUGGCAACAAGGCGAAAUCUUGCUAGGCUGCCAGGAAUAGGCGUUCUGUACUCUGAGCUUGUGCAAGGAAUCCCACCCAUACUGCCCCAUUUGGUAGAAAAAGUACCUUCCAUCCAUUCAGUUCUUGUGAUUAUCUCAAUAAAGUUCUUACCAAUCAGCAAUAUAGAAACAAAUGAGAGGUUCCUCUUCCGAUACGUGGAGCCAAGAGAAUACAGGGUAUUCCGAUGUGUGGUGCGCUAUGGUUACAACAAUAAAGUAGAAGAUCCAAGAGAGUUCGAGAACUUGCUUAUUGGGAACUUGAAGCAAUUCAUCCAUCAAGAAUCACUCUACAGCGAAAGUAGUCAUUCCCUUGAAGGAGAAGAUAAUGCAUUCGAAGAAUCAGGAGAUGCAAUGGAGCCUUCUGUUGAAGUUCAAGACGCAAGGUUGCCGAAAAGGUUUUUAGAUGGAAUCACUGCUAGCCCAGUGAACGGGUUAAUGGAUGAGAUAGAGUUUAUUCAGAGAGGGAUGGAUGAUGGUGUUGUCCAUCUGCUGGGAGAAACUAACGUGGUGGCGGAGCAAGAUGCCGGUUUGGUGAAGAAAAUAAUAGUUGACUACGCCUACAAUUUCAUGAGGAAGAACUUCAGGCAACCAGAGAAGAUCACAUGUGUUCCACAUAACAGGCUGCUGCGGGUGGGAAUGACAUAUGAGAUCUAGAGAGAUGCUCAGUGGAUUGAUCAAAUUGACAAUAGCUUCAGUUUUCUCAGUACCGAGUGCAGAAAGGAUAUGCAGAGGAAGAUGGUGACCGCGUAAACAGUCUCCCUGACAGAACAGCAGAGGAUGGACAGAGUUUCCGCGUACAAGUGGUGAAACUACAGUACAUGCAAUAUGUAUUUACCAUAUAAUAUUUUUGUUAGGGAAAUUAUACUGUAUAAGUGUUUGUUAGCAGUAAGUAUGCAUAGCUGUCAAACCCCUAGUUUGGCCAACUCUUUGCCUUCUUUUUGGAAAACUCAAAAUCUUAGUAUGUGCAGUUGUACACAAAGAUUGUAAGCUACCGGCAAAAGUUAAACGAAGAAUAAAGUAUUGCUUUUGUACAUUCAUCUCAAAUUGUGUAUACAGCAUGUUACGGAUUGUAUGCGGCCAGCACUUGGCACUUCAGACGUUUUUGUUUCCGAGGCAAGUCAAAAGAUUUGCCAAACAUGACAAAAAGAGGAAGAACUAAUUGUGCCACCAACCGUGUGACUGUAAGAAAUGGAAGGGCCAAAGUGCGGAUUAAACAAAUGUGCAUCAGUUAUCUUCAGACAUUGUGUUCUCAGCAAACAAAUCAAAAAUUUAUCGCCCUGCUCGAUUUGAGGUCCGAAAUCAGCAGGGGAAACCGUGAGAUACGAGUACAAGAAAGCAUCGGAUUUGUGCACAGAACUAGUUCGACAUGAGUCGAUCCCAAACAGCCCACGAAGUUGAGAAUAAGAGGUCCCGGCAGGCAUUCCAUCAAACAUGUCACAGGCAUUUGUCACGAGAAGCAAAUACUGCGAGGUCGUAUCGUAUCCUUACCUAUGCACUCCAUUCCACCCGGGCGAAUCCACACGCAUAUAGAGACCGAUCGC
rnacentral:lncRNA from 1 species